rnacentral:lncRNA from 1 species
GGGAGAAAAGCUGCGACCUACCUCUGGAGACAAUGCGGACCCUGCGCUCCACCAGCUCGCGGGGCUCCAGCCCCAGGUCCUUGGAGAUGUUGCCCACAACAGUGCCUUUGUCUGUCUCUUCUGGCACGGAGUAGCGAAUCUGUCCUACCCCGAUCUUGCACAGCGUCCCCAUCAGCGUACACAGCAGCACCAGCUGGCCACGCCUGUGUUGAUUCUUGGAAGCAGCCAUUGUUCAUUUGAAAAAGAAUCCUUUCAGUCUUCACUGGGCAUAGGUGGCUGGAUUACCUUUGCUUGUGGCGAUGGAAAUAAUCUUACGGAAAGCUGGAGAGUCACACAUUUAGGGAAAGAAUGCCUCCGCAGUUCCGCAGUAGGACUCGGGAAUCUGCCGGUCUGAUUUCAUCCGCGCUGAGAAUUCGAUGGCUUUUCGGGUGCACCUCUCUCCCAGGAAAAGAUUCAUUUUGUCUUCUAUCAAGAUGUUAAAGCUCACGAGACAUCGCGGGCUCUGAGCGCACAACUCCUCCCGGUUUACCCUGCCCGCGGUGACCAGGCUGCCGCUCCGCGGGUUCAGAGAGAAAAGCUGGGUCUUACCUUUGGUGAUGAUGCGGACCCUGCGUUCCGUCAGCUCCUGAGGCUGCAGUCCUAGAUCCUUGGUGAUAUUUCCCACAAAAGAUCCCUUAGCUAUCUCUUCAGACACGGAGUAGAGAAUCUGUCCUGCCCAGGCUUCCCACCGGGUCCCUAUGAGAAUGGAGAGCAGCACAAAUCCUCUGUAGUGCGAUCCCCAGCCCCCCUGUCCAGGCGCCAUUGUAGUCCUGCGGAUCUCGCUCACACCCUGAGAGGUCUCGGAAGGUGCCUGAGAACACAGCUGUGUCCGCCAGGACCCCAGUGUGCGGAAGGGAAUCCGGGAAUCCAGCUAUUCGGUUUGAGUUUGAUGUUGCUUGGUGGAGGGCUUGCUUGUCUCAGUCUGUCCUCUCUUUGUGUUGUAAACUCGGUGGUUCUGUUUGAGCUCUGUCACCACCAUCUCAUGGUUGGUGAACAGCGGCGCGCAGAGUCCUUACUCAGUUACUGCACCAUCUUGAAGCAAAAUAAUCUGAUUUUUACAGAAAGAUGUUUAAUUCUUCAAAUUUCUGUUUGCUUAAAUUUCUUCAUCCCAGACAACACGGAUAUACUUUAAAGAUAUAUUUUAAGGUAUUGACUAGCGGAUAAAUCCAAAUACAUUUUAAAAAUAUCUUUCAGGAAGCAACGCUGAGGUUACAUUCUUAAGCACAAAUUCACAUUUUAAUUAGAGAAAAUUAAGCCUUGUCAGGCAAACAUGUAAACGUUAUUUAAAUUUCUAUUGUAAAACUCUACUGCAAAUAUAUCCCUAUGUAUUAUUUUGCAUUCUCUGUAACAUUUUCUGUUGAAUCAUUUAUUUGGAGUUCUGUUUAGUUUAUUUCUCAUUAAAAAUGUAGGUAUUUACACUGAC